AACGAACGCUGGCGGCAGGCUUAACACAUGCAAGUCGAACGCAUCCUUCGGGGUGAGUGGCAGACGGGUGAGUAACGCGAGGGAACGUGCCCUUCAGAUCGGGAUAACCCAGGGCAACUUGGGCUAAUACCGGAUACGUGCGAGAGCAGAAAGAUUUAUCGCUGAAGGAUCGGCCCGCGUCUGAUUAGCUAGUGGGUGUGGUAAUGGCGCACAAAGGCGACGAUCAGAAGCUGGUCGGAGAGGAUGAUCAGCCACAUUGGGACUGAGACACGGCCCAAACUCCUACGGGAGGCAGCAGUGGGGAAUAUUGGACAAUGGGCGCAAGCCUGAUCCAGCCAUGCCGCGUGAGUGAUGAAGGCCUUAGGGUUGUAAAGCUCUUUCGUCCGGGACGAUAAUGACGGUACCGGAAGAAGAAGCCCCGGCUAACUUCGUGCCAGCCGCCGCUGUAA
rnacentral:rRNA from 1 species